AGUGAACGCUGGCGGUAGGCCUAACACAUGCAAGUCGAACGGCAGCACAGUAAGAGCUUGCUCUUACGGGUGGCGAGUGGCGGACGGGUGAGGAAUACAUCGGAAUCUACUUUUUCGUGGGGGACAACGUAGGGAAACUUACGCUAAUACCGCAUACGACCUACGGGUGAAAGCAGGGGAUCUUCGGACCUUGCGCGAUUGAAUUAGCCGAUGUCGGAUUAGCUAGUUGGCGGGGUAAAGGCCCACCAAGGCGACGAUCCGUAGCUGGUCUGAGAGGAUGAUCAGCCACACUGGAACUGAGACACGGUCCAGACUCCUACGGGAGGCAGCAGUGGGGAAUAUUGGACAAUGGGCGCAAGCCUGAUCCAGCCAUACCGCGUGGGUGAAGAAGGCCUUCGGGUUGUAAAGCCCUUUUGUUGGGAAAGAAAAGCAGCAGGUUAAUACCCCGCUGUUCUGACGGUACCCAAAGAAUAAGCACCGGCUAACUUCGUG
rnacentral:rRNA from 1 species